rnacentral:rRNA from 1 species
UACGUAGGGUGCAAGCGUUUAAUCGGAAUUACUGGGCGUAAAGCGUGCGCAGGCGGUUGUGCAAGACCGAUGUGAAAUCCCCGGGCUUAACCUGGGAAUGGCAUUGGUGACUGCACGGCUAGGAGUGUGUCAGAGGGGGGUAAAAUUCCACGUGUAGCAGUGAAAUACGUAGAGAUGUGGAGGAAUACCGAUGGCGAAGGCAGCCCACUGGGAUAACACUGACG